rnacentral:sRNA from 1 species
UGCAUAUCAAUAAGCGGAGGAAAAGAAACCAACAGGGAUUGCCCUAGUAACGGCGAGUGAAGCGGCAACAGCUCAAAUUUGAAAUCUGGCGUCUUUGGCGUCCGAGUUGUAAUUUGCAGAGGGCGCUUUGGCAUUGGCAGCGGUCCAAGUUCCUUGGAACAGGACGUCACAGAGGGUGAGAAUCCCGUACGUGGUCGCUAGCCUUUACCGUGUAAAGCCCCUUCGACGAGUCGAGUUGUUUGGGAAUGCAGCUCUAAAUGGGAGGUAAAUUUCUUCUAAAGCUAAAUACUGGCCAGAGACCGAUAGCGCACAAGUAGAGUGAUCGAAAGAUGAAAAGCACUUUGGAAAGAGAGUUAAAAAGCACGUGAAAUUGUUGAAAGGGAAGCGCUUGCAGCCAGACUUGCCUGUAGUUGCUCAUCCGGGUUUUUACCCGGUGCACUCUUCUACGGGCAGGCCAGCAUCAGUUUGGGCGGUUGGAUAAAGGUCUCUGUCAUGUACCUCCUCUCGGGGAGAACUUAUAGGGGAGACGACAUGCAACCAGCCCGGACUGAGGUCCGCGCAUCUGCUAGGAUGCUGGCGUAAUGGCUGUAAGCGGCCCGUCUUGAAACACGGACC